GCAAGUCGAGCGAACAGACGAGGAGCUUGCUCCUCUGACGUUAGCGGCGGACGGGUGAGUAACACGUGGAUAACCUACCUAUAAGACUGGGAUAACUUCGGGAAACCGGAGCUAAUACCGGAUAAUAUAUUGAACCGCAUGGUUCAAUAGUGAAAGACGGUUUUGCUGUCACUUAUAGAUGGAUCCGCGCCGCAUUAGCUAGUUGGUAAGGUAACGGCUUACCAAGGCAACGAUGCGUAGCCGACCUGAGAGGGUGAUCGGCCACACUGGAACUGAGACACGGUCCAGACUCCUACGGGAGGCAGCAGUAUGGAAUCUUCCGCAAUGGGCGAAAGCCUGACGGAGCAACGCCGCGUGAGUGAUGAAGGUCUUCGGAUCGUAAAACUCUGUUAUUAGGGAAGAACAAAUGUGUAAGUAACUAUGCACGUCUUGACGGUACCUAAUCAGAAAGCCACGACUAACUACGUGCCAGCAGCCGCGGUAAUACGUAGGUGGCAAGCGUUAUCCGGAAUUAUUGGGCGUAAAGCGCGUGUAGGCGGUUUUUUAAGUCUGAUGUGAAAGCCCACGGCUCAACCGUGGAGGGUCAUUGGAAACUGGAAAACUUGAGUGCAGAAGAGGAAAGUGGAAUUCCAUGUGUAGCGGUGAAAUGCGCAGAGAUAUGGAGGAACACCAGUGGCGAAGGCGACUUUCUGGUCCGUAACUGACGCUGAUGUGCGAAAGC
rnacentral:rRNA from 1 species